rnacentral:rRNA from 1 species
AUACGUAGGUGGCGAGCGUUGUCCGGAAUUACUGGGCGUAAAGGGUGCGUAGGCGGCUCUUUAAGUGAGGUGUGAAAGCCCUGGGCUUAACCCAGGGAUUGCACUUCAAACUGGAGAGCUAGAGUGCAGGAGAGGAAAGUGGAAUUCCCAGUGUAGCGGUGAAAUGCGUAGAGAUUGGGAGGAACACCAGUGGCGAAGGCGACUUUCUGGACUGUAACUGACGCUGAGGCACGAGAGCGUGGGGAGCAAACAGGAGUAGAUACCCUGGUAGUCCACGCUGUAAACGAUGAAUACUAGGUGUAGGGGGCGAAGCCCUCUGUGCCGCAGUUAACACAUUAAGUAUUCCGCCUGGGGAGUACGAUCGCAAGAUUAAA